UAUAGCCUACGGGACGCAGCAGUGGGGAAUAUUGCACAAUGGGGGAAACCCUGAUGCAGCAACGCCGCGUGAAGGAAGACGGUUUUCGGAUUGUAAACUUCUGUUCUUAGUGAAGAAGAAUGACGGUAGCUAAGGAGCAAGCCACGGCUAACUACGUGCCAGCAGCCGCGGUAAUACGUAGGUGGCAAGCGUUGUCCGGAAUUACUGGGUGUAAAGGGAGCGCAGGCGGGAAGCCAAGUCGGCUGUGAAAACUACGGGCUUAACUUGUAGGCUGCAGUUGAAACUGGGUUUCUUGAGUGAAGUAG
rnacentral:rRNA from 1 species